rnacentral:rRNA from 1 species
GACGUAGGGGGCCAGCGUUGUUCGGAAUUACUGGGUGUAAAGGGUUCGUAGGCGGUGCGGCAAGUUGGGAGUGAAAUCUCUGGGCUUAACCCAGAGGCUGCUUCCAAAACUGCUGUGCUUGAGUGUGGGAGAGGCGCGUGGAAUUGCAGGUGUAGCGGUGAAAUGCGUAGAUAUCUGGAGGAACACCGGUGGCGAAGGCGACGUCCUGGACCGGCAUUGACGCUGAGGCGCGAAAGCCAGGGGAGCAAACGGG